CAUGGAUCUUUUCUGAACCUAACGAUUCUUUUUCGACCUCCCGUCUGGCAUAUAAUCAACACAACCCACUAAUCCCACUUUCACCUCUUCAUUGUAUGUUUAAUUCCUCGUUCCUGAGCUUUUUCCAGAGUAUAAAUAUAUAUUCUCAUUGGCCUUUCAAAUGCCUCUAAACUUCCUUUAGAUUCGUUUUAAUUUGAAAGCUUAGACAGGCCGGUGUAGGUAAAUGUCAAAAAAGAGGCCAGUUGAUGCUUUGAUGGGGGUUGAUAUGUUGGUGCUUGAUUCCAAGGUAUUCUGAUUAACGCUUUUAAAAUCCAACGUUUCAUAAUUCAAUUAUCCAUUUUGGGACUUUUCGUAUUUGUAAGAAAAAGUGGUCACUCUAACUUGAACUAAAAAGCAACGAUCGCAAGCUCUCUGCGGCGGAGCAGUUUGACAUCUACAACCAAGAACUCAGGGAGAAUUCUGCUUCACGAGUUUUGUAAGAAGAGAGAGAUCUUUGAUGAUUUGGCUUCGCUGUUGUGGCACUCUGUUGUUACCGUUCCUGCUCUACUGCAGGUUUAGAGGUUGAGAGUGGGAAGAAGGCGAUGCAAGAAGUUUUCUUGAACUGAUAAUUUUAGCUUGGACAAGCACAUGAAUGGAGGAAAGCUGAAGAAUCACUGUCCAGCCACUUCAAUAUCUUAAACAGAGGAGGAAUGGAUGCCAAUGAGAACUUCAGCUCUCAGUUCUCGUCCGCUGUAUCAUCCUCUCUUGAUGUUUUUGAUGUUGUUGACGCCAGCCUUCUUACUUCCAUUGAUCAUUCAUUGAAACUCGAUAAUGGUGCAUAUGCUAAGAUCAACUCCAUGAUCAUCCCAUGCUGUGAAGACUUUGAUAGAUCCCAAGAGUGAUCACAGUCACAAGAUCAUAGAGAUCACAAACAACGCAUGGAAAUAUCUUCUUGAUGGAAACUUAGAAUAUUGUCUUUGGUGAAAACAGGACCAAAUGACAUACCAAGCAUUGAGUCCAUUGAGGAACUUAGAAUCCCAGCAUCUGAGACUUGCUGAGAGCGCGUCAAGAUGGGAAACUGUUGAAGCAGGCUAAUGGUGAUGCAAAGCAGCAACAACACCUUAUACGUGCUUCUUCUGUUUAGGAGGCAGCUGUGUCGGACUCAAGAUCUCCCCUCUCUGAUGUUAACUGAUAUCCAAAGAGGAUUGAUUUUACAGAAGCCAAGAGAAGAAGGUUAUUAUUGUGUCACACUCUACAGAGAGUAUACAUGUCAACUUAUUUUCUUCGUGGAGGUGGUUUGAGGAUUUUACAAGAACUUCACUUUUCUUAUUAUUCUUUUUUUUUUGUUUAGUUAGGAUUUGUAUUGUUUAUUAGUUGGAACAAAAGAAAUUAUUAUCUUCUGAAUCAGUAUAUUUAUGAGUCGUGUUAGUUUUAAUUACAAGCAAAUAUAUUAGGCUUUACGAUGUCA